rnacentral:rRNA from 1 species
GGGGAAUAUUGCACAAUGGAGGAAACUCUGAUGCAGCGAUGCCGCGUGAGGGAAGAAGGUUUUAGGAUUGUAAACCUCUGUCUUCAGGGACGAAAAAAGACGGUACCUGAGGAGGAAGCUCCGGCUAACUACGUGCCAGCAGCCGCGGUAAUACGUAGGGAGCGAGCGUUGUCCGGAAUUACUGGGUGUAAAGGGAGCGCAGGCGGGAUCGCAAGUCAGAUGUGAAAACUAUGGGCUUAACCCAUAAACUGCAUUUGAAACUGUGGUUCUUGAGUGAAGUAGAGGUAAGCGGAAUUCCUAGUGUAGCGGUGAAAUGCGUAGAUAUUAGGAGGAACAUCAGUGGCGAAGGCGGCUUACUGGGCUUUAACUGACGCUGAGGCUCGAAAGCGUGGGGAGCAAACAGGAUUAGAUACCCUGGUAGUCCACGCCGUAAACGAUGAUUACUAGGUGUGGGGGGAC